UACGUAGGGUGCGAGCGUUAAUCGGAAUUACUGGGCGUAAAGUGUGCGCAGGUGGCCGCGCAAGUCGAGUGUGAAAUCCCCGAGCUUAACUUGGGAAUUGCGCUCGAAACUACGUGGCUCGAGUGUGGCAGAGGAAGGUGGAAUUCCACGUGUAGCGGUGAAAUGCGUAGAGAUGUGGAGGAACACCGAUGGCGAAGGCAGCCCCUGGUGGCAACACUGACGCUCAUGCACGAAAGCGUGGGGAGCAAACAGG
rnacentral:rRNA from 1 species